rnacentral:rRNA from 1 species
UCGGCAAUGGGGGAAACCCUGACCGAGCAACGCCGCGUGAAGGAAGAAGUAAUUCGUUAUGUAAACUUCUGUCAUAGAGGAAGAACGGUGGAUAUAGGGAAUGAUAUCCAAGUGACGGUACUCUAUAAGAAAGCCACGGCUAACUACGUGCCAGCAGCCGCGGUAAUACGUAGGUGGACAGCGUUAUCCGGAAUUAUUGGGCGUAAAGAGGGAGCAGGCGGCACUAAGGGUCUGUGGUGAAAGAUCGAAGCUUAACUUCGGUAAGCCAUGGAAACCGUAGAGCUAGAGUGUGUGAGAGGAUCGUGGAAUUCCAUGUGUAGCGGUGAAAUGCGUAGAUAUAUGGAGGAACACCAGUGGCGAAGGCGACGAUCUGGCGCAUAACUGACGCUCAGUCCCGAAAGCGUGGGGAGCAAAUAGGAUUAGAUACCCUAGUAGUCCACGCCGUAAACGAUGAGUACUAAGUGUUGGGUGUCAAAGCUCAGUGCUGCAGUUAACGCAAUAAGUACUCCGCCUGAGUAGUACGUUCGCAAGAAUGAAACUCAAAGGAAUUGACGGGGGCCCGCACAAGCGGUGGAGCAUGUGGUUUAAUUCGAAGCAACGCGAAGAACCUUACCAGGUCUUGACAUCGAUCUAAAGGCUCCAGAGAUGGAGAGAUAGCUAUAGAGAAGACAGGUGGUGCAUGGUUGUCGUCAGCUCGUGUCGUGAGAUGUUGGGUUAAGUCCCGCAACGAGCGCAACCCCUGUUGCCAGUUGCCAGCAUUAAGUUGGGGACUCUGGCGAGACUGCCGGUGACAAGCCGGAGGAAGGCGGGGAUGACGUCAAAUCAUCAUGCCCCUUAUGACCUGGGCUACACACGUGCUACAAUGGACAGAGCAGAGGGAAGCGAAGCCGCGAGGUGGAGCGAAACCCAUAAAACUGUUCUCAGUUCGGACUGCAGUCUGCAACUCGACUGCACGAAGAUGGAAUCGCUAGUAAUCGCGAAUCAGCAUGUCGCGGUGAAUACGUUCUCGGGCCUUGUACACACCGCCCGUCACACCAUGAGAGUCGGUAACACCCGAAGCCGGUGGCCUAACCGCAAGGAAGGAGCUGUCUAAGGUGGGACUGAUGAUUGGGGUGAAGUCGUAACAAGGUAUCCCUACGGGAACGUGGGGAUG